UACAGAGGUCCCAAGCGUUGUUCGGAUUCAUUGGGCGUAAAGGGUGCGUAGGCGGUCUGCUAAGUUUGAUGUGAAAUCCCGGGGCUCAACCCUGGAAUGGCAUUGAAUACUGGUGGACUAGAGUACUGGAGAGGAAACUGGAAUUUACGGUGUAGCAGUGAAAUGCGUAGAGAUCGUAAGGAAGACCAGUGGCGAAGGCGAGUUUCUGGACAGUAACUGACGCUGAGGCACGAAGGCCAGGGGGAGCAAACGGG
rnacentral:rRNA from 1 species